AUAUUAGUCAAUGCUCGUAAGAGUGAACUAGCUAACUGAAUUCACAUACGAUAUAAAAGUAUUAAAUGUGAUAAGGUAAGGGAAAAAAUUGAUAUUAUCUUACUAUUAGUGUUGUCCAAAUCUGGUGCCAGAAGACUCGGUAAGACCAGAAACGCUAACGUUAAUCGUCUUUAUCAGGCGUAAAGGGUUUGUAGGCCGCUUUUAAAUUUUCUAUAUAAAUUAGCUCUGAUUUUUAUCUGUUAAAUAGAAAUAUAAUAAAAGCUAGAAUCAAAUAGAGGAUAAGCCAAAUAAUACUUAGAGUAGGGAUGAUAUCCAUAGAUACUAAGGGGAAUACUAAAGGUGAAAACUUUUAUCUACUAAUGAUUGACGCUGAGAAACGAAGGUGAGAAUAGGAAAUAGGAUUAGAUACCCAGAUACCUCUCACUGUCAACGAUGAAUGGUAGUUUGUUAGUUUUAAUAAAAACUGAUAACGAUGCUAACGCGAUAACCAUUCCGCCUUGCGAGUACGGUUGCAAAACUGAAACCAAAA
rnacentral:rRNA from 1 species